UAUCGUUACGCGCGUCGCUUAGG
rnacentral:miRNA from 1 species